GCGCGCUACGCCCACGUACCGGCGGCGCAGCGGCGUCCGGCCUCGCUCGUCUUCGUGGGGGCGAAGGGGGCGAGGUCGGACGAUCC
rnacentral:sRNA from 1 species